rnacentral:rRNA from 1 species
UAAGGAAUAUUGCGCAAUGGACGAAAGUCUGACGCAGCGACGCCGCGUGGGGGAUGAAGGUCUUCGGAUUGUAAACCCCUUUCGGGAGGGAAGAUGGAGUGGGUAACCACUUGGACGGUACCUCCAGAAGCAGCCACGGCUAACUUCGUGCCAGCAGCCGCGGUAAUACGAAGGUGGCAAGCGUUGUUCGGAUUCACUGGGCGUACAGGGAGCGUAGGCGGUUGGGUAAGCCCUCCGUGAAAUCUCCGGGCCUAACCCGGAAAGUGCAGAGGGGACUGCUCAGCUAGAGGAUGGGAGAGGAGCGCGGAAUUCCCGGUGUAGCGGUGAAAUGCGUAGAGAUCGGGAGGAAGGCCGGUGGCGAAGGCGGCGCUCUGGAACAUUUCUGACGCUGAGGCUCGAAAGCGUGGGGAGCAAACAGGAUUAGAUACCCUUGUAGUCCCUGAGCGGGCUGGCAAGGCGCAU